rnacentral:rRNA from 1 species
UACGUAGGAUGCAAGCGUUAUCCGGAUUUACUGGGUGUAAAGGGGGCGCAGACGGCGAUGCAAGCCAGGAGUGAAAGCCCGGGGCCCAACCCCGGGACUGCUCUUGGAACUGCGUGGCUGGAGUGCAGGAGGGGCAGGCGGAAUUCCUGGUGUAGCGGUGAAAUGCGUAGAUAUCAGGAGGAACACCGGCGGCGAAGGCGGCCUGCUGGACCGCGACUGACGUUGAGGCUCGAAAGCGUGGGGAGCGAACAGG